rnacentral:rRNA from 1 species
AGUCGAGGGGUAGGGCACUUCGGUGCUUGAGACCGGCGCACGGGUGCGUAACGCGUAUGCAAUCUGCCUUCCACAGAGGGAUAGCCCAGAGAAAUUUGGAUUAAUACCUCAUAGCAUCAUGACCCGGCAUCGGGAUAUGAUUAAAGUCACAACGGUGGAAGAUGAGCAUGCGUCCCAUUAGCUAGUUGGUAAGGUAACGGCUUACCAAGGCUACGAUGGGUAGGGGUCCUGAGAGGGAGAUCCCCCACACUGGUACUGAGACACGGACCAGACUCCUACGGGAGGCAGCAGUGAGGAAUAUUGGUCAAUGGGCGCAAGCCUGAACCAGCCAUGCCGCGUGCAGGAUGACGGUCCUAUGGAUUGUAAACUGCUUUUGUACGGGAAGAAACCCUCCUACGUGUAGGAGCUUGACGGUACCGUAAGAAUAAGGAUCGGCUAACUCCGUGCCAGCAGCCGCGGUAAUACGGAGGAUCCAAGCGUUAUCCGGAAUCAUUGGGUUUAAAGGGUCUGUAGGCGGUCUUGUAAGUCAGUGGUGAAAGCCCAUCGCUCAACGGUGGAACGGCCAUUGAUACUGCUGGACUUGAAUUAUUGGGAAGCAACUAGAAUAUGUAGUGUAGCGGUGAAAUGCUUAGAGAUUACAUGGAAUACCAAUUGCGAAGGCAGGUUGCUACCAAUGGAUUGACGCUGAUGGACGAAAGCGUGGGUAGCGAACAGGAUUAGAUACCCUGGUAGUCCACGCCGUAAACGAUGGAUACUAGCUGUUGGGCGCAAGUUCAGUGGCUAAGCGAAAGUGAUAAGUAUCCCACCUGGGGAGUACGAACGCAAGUUUGAAACUCAAAGGAAUUGACGGGGGCCCGCACAAGCGGUGGAGCAUGUGGUUUAAUUCGAUGAUACGCGAGGAACCUUACCAAGGCUUAAAUGCAGACUGACCGGUUUGGAAACAGACCUUUCGCAAGACGGUCUACAAGGUGCUGCAUGGUUGUCGUCAGCUCGUGCCGUGAGGUGUCAGGUUAAGUCCUAUAACGAGCGCAACCCCUGUUGUUAGUUGCCAGCGAGUCAUGUCG